GGGUGUGUGGCUUAGUGGUUAGUACGCUUGCCUCUCACCUCUGGGGUUGGGGGUUCGAAUCCCAACUACGAGCU